GAUCCUGGCUCAGGAUGAACGCUGGCGGCGUGCUUAACACAUGCAAGUCGAACGAAGCGCUUAAAUUUGAUUCUUCGGAUGAAGAUUUUUGUGACUGAGUGGCGGACGGGUGAGUAACGCGUGGGUAACCUGCCUCAUACAGGGGGAUAACAGUUAGAAAUGACUGCUAAUACCGCAUAAGCGCACGGUGUCGCAUGACACAGUGUGAAAAACUCCGGUGGUAUGAGAUGGACCCG
rnacentral:rRNA from 1 species